rnacentral:rRNA from 1 species
CCAGGCUUGACAUCCUUGGAAGCUCUUCGAAAGAAGAGUGUGCUUUUAGAGCCAAGUGACAGGUGAUGCAUGGCCGUCGUCAGCUCGUGUCGUGAGAUGUUUGGUUAAGUCCAUCAACGAGCGCAACCCUUGUGAUUAGUUGAAUUUUUCUAAUCAGACUGCCCUGGUAACAGGGAGGAAGGAGGGGAUGAUGUCAGGUCAGUAUUUCCCUUACGUCUGGGGCUACAAACACGCUACAAUGGCCGGUACAAAGGGCAGCCAAGUCGCGAGACGGAGCAAAUCCCAUCAAAGCCGGUCCCAGUUCGGAUAGCAGGCUGAAACUCGCCUGCUUGAAGUCGGAAUCGCUAGUAACGGUAGGUCAGCUAUACUACCGUGAAUACGUUCCCGGGUCUUGUACACACCGCCCGUCAAACCAUGAAAGUCGCCAAUACCUGACGUACCGGCUUGUCCGGUCCUAGGGUAGGGGAGAUGAUUGGGGUU